AAGAUUUUAAGUUAAAAGUAAACUUGCAACCUUCAAAGCUGCAAAUAUCUAAGAUAAAGGUAAGUCUUA
rnacentral:tRNA from 1 species